rnacentral:rRNA from 1 species
CGCGUGCACUGGUUCGGCCGGGCCUUUCCCUCUGGGGAACCGCAUGCCCUUCACUGGGUGUGUCGGGGAACCAGGACUUUUACUUUGAACAAAUUAGAUCGCUUAAAGAAGGCCUAUGCUCGAAUACAUUAGCAUGGAAUAAUAAAAUAGGACGUGUGGUUCUAUUUUGUUGGUUUCUAGGACCGCCGUAAUGAUUAAUAGGGACAGUCGGGGGCAUCAGUAUUCAAUUGUCAGAGGUGAAAUUCUUGGAUUUAUUGAAGACUAACUACUGCGAAAGCAUUUGCCAAGGAUGGUUUCAUUAAUCAGGAACGAAAGUUAGGGGAUUGAAGACGAUCAGAUACCGUCGUAGUCUUAACCAUAAACUAUGCCGACUAGGGAUCGGACGAUGUUAUAUUUUGACUCGUUCGGCACCUUACACGAAAGUAAAGUUUCUGGGUUCUGGGGGGAGUAUGGUCGCAAGGCUGAAACUUAAAGAAAUUGACGGAAGGGCACCACCAGGGGUGGAGCCUGCGGCUUAAUUUGACUCAACACGGGGAAACUCACCAGGUCCAGACACAAGUAGGAUUGACAGAUUGAGAGCUCUUUCUUGAUUUUGUGGGUGGUGGUGCAUGGCCGUUCUUAGUUGGUGGAGUGAUUUGUCUGCUUAAUUGCGAUAACGAACGAGACCUUAACCUCCUAAAUAGCCCGUAUUGCUUUGGCAGUACGCUGGCUUCUUAGAGGGACUAUCGG